UACGAAGGGGGCUAGCGUUGCUCGGAAUCACUGGGCGUAAAGGGUGCGUAGGCGGGUUUUUAAGUCAGAGGUGAAAUCCUGGAGCUCAACUCCAGAACUGCCUUUGAUACUGAAAGUCUUGAGUAUGGGAGAGGUGAGUGGAACUGCGAGUGUAGAGGUGAAAUUCGUAGAUAUUCGCAAGAACACCAGUGGCGAAGGCGGCUCACUGGCCCAUUACUGACGCUGAGGCACGAAAGCGUGGGGAGCAAA
rnacentral:rRNA from 1 species